GUAGUCGUAUUUACAUCAAUCCACAUCUGUUGAGGUGGAUUGGAGUGGAACUUGAACUAAAUUUCAUCCCAAUCCACACCAACACACAUGGAUUGGAGUGAAUACAACA
rfam:Sorghum bicolor cultivar BTx623 chromosome 6, whole genome shotgun sequence.